UAGCGUUUCGAAAUGAUUUAUUUAUUCCAUAUUCAUAAAAGCUUCUUAUUAUGAGCAUGAUCUUAAAAUUUGUACAAUGAAGAAAGGACUCAGCUUCCGGUCCUAUAUUCCCAGAAUAUCUUGGGAUCGUUCGAUUAUCCUACUAUUAUUGACGGCGGCGAUAUUUUCAUUCGUUGCUGGCUCCAUAAUAUCAAUAUGGAACAAUCCGCAGCAGUAUUGUCAAACCAUUUACCAGAUAUAUUAUAUUUUUCACAAACGACAGAAUUUUUUCACAGAGAAAAUAGGUCCGGCAGAAAAACGUUUUCGAGACUGUAAUGCACAGUUUAAAGGUUGUGCUGAAAGCUUCCACUAACACCGAACAAUGGGCAAACACUUCAGAAUCGAGAUAUUAAGAAACUAAUUUUCAAUACCGAAGCAACAAGUAAAAGAAAAAUGAAAAACUCUAGGCAAAAACAUUUAUGGUGAAAAAUAUCCACGUUGAAGUAGAAAAGGAUUUUAAAACGAAAUGUUUGUCUUUAUUCUAACAAAAAAUAGAAUAAAUGAAAUCAAUUAAGCAGUCAGAAGCGGUAAUUACGUUAGAAAUGUAAUGAUUUAUCUAA
rnacentral:lncRNA from 1 species